rnacentral:lncRNA from 10 species
AUCAAGCCUGGGCAAUGGCGGGCGCCCCUCCCCCAGCCUGGCUGCCGCCUUGCAGUUUGAUCUCAGACUGCUGUGCUAGCAAUCAGGGAGACUCCGUGGGCGUAGGACCCUCCGAGCCAGGUGUUACCGUGAGAAAAUAUCUUGAACUUCUACUCUGUUGUCCCAGAGUCGAUGUAUUCUACCUUUGUCGACCAGAACUUCUCCAUCAUACAGUCCAAACUUGUGGGUCUGGAAAGCACAAACUCUGUAAAUGAGAAACUGGUGAUGAUGUUAAGUAAGUUAUUUAUAUUUUAAGUCCCUGAUUUUAGACUCAUGUAUUUUACCUACUCGGAAAAAAUCAUAUUAUGGUUGUUGAUUUAGAAUACACAUCCUAAAAAGUGACAUCCCAUCUUUGUAUGGUCUCAUGUCUGAGCUAGGCAUCCCACUGAAAUCUUUAACUUAACAUGCCAUUGUUCCACUACGCACCACCCAGCAGCUAAUUGGUCUCCACGCAGAAUGGUGCUAUUAGGGGGACUCAGUGAUUGUCUUGUAUGUAUGGACAUCAUGCAGUAACAGGAGAUAAAUUUGUGUUGGAGACAGGGAACCCAUGCUACUGAAUUUAUGCAUAGUCUUCCUUACAUCACCAUGGUUACCAUGUCUACAUGCACCUCAUGCUCACACUUGGGUUGCGUGAUGGUUAAUAUUGAGUGUCAACUUGAUUGGAUUGAAGGAUGCAAAGCAUCGUUCCUAGGUGUGUCUGUGAGGGUAUUGCCAAAGGAGAUUAACAUUUGAGUCCGUGGACUGAGAAAGCCAGAUCCACAAUCAAUCCGGGUGGGGACAAUCUAAUCAGCUGCCAGCAUGGCCAGAAUAAAAGCAGACAGAAACACGUGGAAAGACCAGACUGGCUAAGCCUUCUGGCCUCCAUCUUUCUUCCAUGCUGGAUGCUUUCUGCCCUUGAACAUCAGACUCCAAGUUCUUCAGCUUUUGGAUUCUUGGACUCACACCAGUGAUUUGCCAGGGGCUCUUGGGCCUUCCACCACAGACUGAAGGCUGCACUAUCAGCUUCCCUACUUUUGAGGUUUUGGGACUCGGACUGGCUUCCUGGCUCCUCAGCUUGAAGACAACCAAUGGUGGGACUUCACCUUGUGAUCCUGUGAGUCAUUUCUCCUAAUAAAUUCCCCUUCAUAUAGACACUAUCCUAUUAGUUCUGUCCAUCUAGAGAACCCCGACAAACAUGGGUUGCUAUCAACUGGACAAAUCAUUGCCAACUAAGUUUUUUAGUGCUUCAGCACUUCUACCAUAGUUAGUGUGCACUAAUGAAUGCAAACAUUUGUAUUACCUAAUACAUGGUCUGGUACAGCAUCCUCAGAUGUGAACUAUGCUGCCUCCUGUAUCCAAAAAGGACUACCAAAUGUUGUACUUCCAUCUUAUUGCAGUGCAGUAAGAAAUAUUUUGUCCUUUAUUUUGUAGAUGUCCCAUCAUGCCCUCAACCACAAAACACCUAAAUUUUACGGUUAUAAUCGCUGUCAGUGGUUGUACGUUGAUAUUCUAUUGUUCCAGCACCAUUCUUUUCCUAUUAAAUUACACUGGCAAAUUUGAUUAAAAAAAACAACUGACUAUAUAUGCUUGUAAACAUUUCCAGAUUAUGUUAUUCUUUUAAUCUAAAUAUGUGUCCUUAUGCCAAUACCCCACUCCAUCUAUUACUGCAGUGUAUGAUAAGUCUUGAAAUCUAGUAGUGUAAGUUCUUCAACGUUGCCCUUAAUUUUUAAAAUCACUCUUGCUAUUUAAAAUUGUUUGUAUUACAUGGAAAUUUUAUAAUCAGCUUGCCAAUUUCUACAAAAGUCCUGCUGAGAUUUUAAUUGGUAUUUUGCUUGUUCUGCAGCUUAAUGCAAGAAAAUUAUCUUAACAAUAUUGAAUUUUUCAAUCUAUUAACAUGUUAUAUAUUACUGUUUACUUAGGAUUUUUUCACUUUUCCUGCCUUGUUUUGAACUGAUAUUGUGGUUUUAAGUAAUUUUUUUUAUUUCUACUAUUGGCUUAGUAACUAUGCCCCACUUUUUGAUUUUGUAGCACAGUUGACCAUUGAACAACACAAGUUUGAAUUGUGCAUGUCCAAUUGUCUAUGGAUAUUUUUCAAUAAAAGUUACACUGAGUGCAUCAGCCUCUCUCCUUCUUCUCCUUCUACCUCCUCCAACUGUUCCACCUCUGCCACCCCAAAACAGCAAGAACAACCCCUCCCUUCCUCCUCCUCCUCCUCAGCCUACUCAAGGUGAAGCUGAUAAGGUAAG